UCGACGCAACUAGAGAAAGCCUGCUCUCAGCAACGAAGACCCAACACAGCCAAAAAUUAAAAAAAAAAAGGCACUGCUAUUAAUGCUGUGGGGUACCCUCUGCAUACUCCAGUCCUUGUUAGCUCUGUUUAGAGUCUAUAGAAAACCCAGUCUGGGCUUUAAAUGAAGGUCAGUUUCCAGCAAGAUAGGGAGAUUUAGAUGCCAAAGAGUAUGCCUCAACUAAAGAGAAUUUAAUUUGCUACUGAUUCAACAGAUUCCAGUUUCCAUGAACUAAUCGGCUUAUGUGAGAUGGAGGACGCCCAGGACCAGGGAUUCAUCCUUGGUGAAGAGUCCUGGCCAGAGCCCUCUAACUUGAGCACUAUGACAGAGUCCAGAAGAUUCACACGAUAGGGCAGAGCCUAGAUUUGCUGGCCGUUUCCCAAGAGUAGCAAAAAAUGACCAAGGCCCAGAAACUGGAGACCCUUGAGUUCUCAACAGCUUCAUCAGAUGGGCAACUGACCAUCCAUCCUCAAGAUUCACCCUUAGGAUGUAUCCUAAAGAAUUGGGCUAAGUUUGAUCCCCAAACCUUGGGGAAGAAGCAAUUAAUUUUCUUUUGCAACAUGGCAUGUCCACAGUACAAGCUAGGAGGGGGAGAAAUUUGGCCUGAAUAUGGGAGUUUAAACUCCAAUACCAUUCUGCAGCGUGACCUUUUUUGUCGAAAGUGGAGCGAGGUCCCUUAUGUCCAAGUCGUCUUUGCCUUGAGGGAAAACCCCGAACUUUACAGGACUUGCUGGGUAGACUCUGCUGACUUGGCAAUGCUUAAUUUGCUUACCAAACCUCCUCCCCCUCUCCUGGUGAUACGAAGCCUUAGCCGACAAUAAGCCUUGUCCAUUGGCGCCCUCUUCUGGGGAAAAGAAGGAGCCUCUUACACAAACGGCCUCUUCCCCACUGUACCCAACGCUGGACGCCCCCCCGCCCCGACCCCGCGCCGAAGCUUUGGCCCCUUACCCGGGGCCCCAUAACUCAAAACGUUGCCCACUUCAGGAGGUAAUAGGGCCCUCCGAAUUUCCCAUAAGGAUCAAAGUUCCUGUUUCUAUGCAGGGUCUCAGUCAGAUAAAACAAGAUCUAGGAAAGUUUUCAGAUGACCCUGAAAAAAAUCUAGAUAAGUUUAGGCAUCUAACUAUGACCUUUGAGUUAACUUGGAGGGAUGUUUAUAUCAUCCUUGCCCGGACACUCUCUCAGUCAGAAAGAACAACCAUAUACGAAGCCACCGCUCAGCUGGGAGACGGCUACCACGUGACAAACCCCCAACAAUUUCCCAGGGGAACUGUGGCUGGCCGUUCCCCAGACGGAACCCAAUUGGGACUAUAAUACUUCAGUAGGGCUGGCAGCCAGGGACAACUCCCUCUUCUGCCUGGUUGAGGGAAAGAAACAAUGUAAACUAAAACCUGUUCAUUAUGGGCAAGGAUGACAGGAAAAUCCCACUGCCUUCUGUGAGCGGCUGAGGGAAGUCUUUAUAAAACACUUAGACCCAGACUCAGAGGCAGGGAAACUGGUUUUAAAUGACCGUUGCAACACUCAAGCUGCCCCAGACAUAAGGAGGAAAAUACAAACGGUGGCCCUAGGACCUAGCACUCCUGUCUCAGAACUCCUUAGGGCUGCCUCCUCUGUCUUCUACAACCAGGAGAGAGAGGAGGAGAGGGAAAAGAGAAAGAAAAACGCAAGGCUAAGAGGCAGGCCCAACUAGUGGCAGCAUUACAGGUCCAGCAGCGAACUCCUGGUUGCCCCCAGGAGGCUUCCCCCUCACCACCACCCCAACUCCCCCGGCAACUGGCAUCGCUGCGGGAAACCAGGACACUGGAAGACAAACUGCCCGGAGACCAAAAAACCCCUAUCAAGGUACCUGGCAUUGCUAGCUGGAUCCAUCACACAGGGUCAAGCCACGGGUUGCAACUGCUGAGGAGAAGCCCUCCAAGGAUCCUCCAGACAACUACACUUGUAAGGCCCUAGAGAACGUGAGGCUCCUCUUUAAAAAACAAACAGGCAAUGACAUUUCAGAUGGUCCUCAGCCAAGGAUAUCAGCUCACCAACACUCAAGAAAUGACUUCAUUCUACAUGGGACCUUUGGAUCAACCCCCCAGGACAAGUGGACAGAGACCUGACAUGACAGCCAGCAAGAGGAGGGACCCUAAACCCCUCUACAUCCCUCUUCAGUAGGAAGCAUUUUAGUAUACAGUAGGAAAGUAGAAUGCAUGUUUUCAGUAAAGAAGGUAUGAGGAAUGGAAUUACACUUUAUUGGGGGAAAAAAAGGAAGUAUGUCUUAGAGCUGGUUGGUUUUGGAUGGGAAAAUAAGGGAUGAACUAAUAUGGAAACAGAAAGUGAUGAAAGAUUGUGGAAAGGAACCCUGAAGGGGGAAAAAAAAGGUUUUAUGCAUGAUCAGGAUUAAUUAAAUUUAGAAUGAAGUUAAGUAAAUGGAUUUUGUUGUUGUACAAGACUGGAAUUUGAACGAAGUUUCUUAGAGUGCUCCUUUUUGAUAACAGAUUGUGUGAGUUUCUGUCCCCUUAAGUGACCUGUAUUUGUUUUUUAAAUCUUUUUGUGAUUUUGGUUAAACGAAUAAGUAUUGCUUCAUAGAGACCUAUGAUCCUGUUGUGUUUUAAAACCUUUUUGAUAUUUUUAACAAAUUUCCCAAAUAUCAAAAUCUAACUUUUAGCCUCCAACUGACUCUGGGAUGCUUUGAAGGAACCCUGAAACAUCUCAGAGAGAAAUGCUAAACUCAUUAAAUUUAUUUGUUAUGUUAAAAUACUUGAGAAGCAUUGUCAAGAGACUGGAGAUGAACCUUAGGUUACAGUAUAUGGAUAAAUGCCAUUAAUAUAGAUAUCCCAAACUUUAUAUGGAAUUCCUAACAUCUGAUAUGCCCUGAUAUAAUGUUAUCAGUCAUAAGUCUAGUUAUUAUCCUACAAUGUUAUAUGUCACAGAAAUAUCCAAGUUUCUUGCCAAUUGCAUUGUACUCCAAUCUUUAACCAUGCUAUUUUAAGUUUUGUCCUUUAAAGACAAUCAUUAUUUUACACUGAUGCUUUUACAAAAUGAAGAUCUUCAAGAAGACUCAUAAAACAGAUUUUUUUUAAACAAAUAUAAGUUUCUGAUAGCCUCUAGAUAAUACCACUGAACUAGGUAGCAGUUCAAAUAAACUGCUUUAAUGACAAAACUCUAAUGGAAAACCUGAUGACAAAACUCUAGUGGAAAACCUGAUGACUUCAUCCAGAUCAACAGAAAUUAAUACAUGGGACAAAAUGAACUGAUAAAUAUGGCUUAUAGCUUUAUGACUACUUGGAAAAUACACUAGCUUUAAUCUUUGUUUUCCAAAAAAACCUUUCCUGUCAUGCCAUGACCUACAAGUUGUAUUCUAGUGUCAGUGCAAUGUACGAUGUUAAUUUGAGAGAUUGCUCUUCUGAAGAAGGUUUACAAUUACGUUGCCUGGAUAGAAAUAAGCUUAAUUAAAUAUCGUAAAAACACAUGAGAAAUUCUUCAGUUAAAAUGUUAGUAUAAAAUGUGGGUGAUGGCUAAAGAUUUGAUUCUAUUUUGAGAGCUAUUUUUUGUUUCACAGCUUUCCUUGUUUUAAUUCAUCUAGGGAAUUCCCUGGUGGUCCAGUGGUUAGGACUCCACACUUUCACUGCCAGGGCCCAGGUUUGACCCCUGGUCAGGGAACUAGGAUCCCACAAGCCAUGUGGUGUGGCCAAAAAAACAAACAAAAAAACAUAAUUCACCUAAAUAUUUCACUCAGCGUGUUUGUGUCUGAUAUAUAUACAUAUACGUUAUGUUCUUUAAGAUAUAUACGUACACAUAUAUAAAUAAA